rnacentral:rRNA from 1 species
GACGAACGCUGGCGGCGCGCCUAACACAUGCAAGUCGAACGAGCGAGAGAGAGCUUGCUUUCUCGAGCGAGUGGCGAACGGGUGAGUAACGCGUGAGGAACCUGCCUCAAAGAGGGGGACAACAGUUGGAAACGACUGCUAAUACCGCAUAAGCCCACGGCUCGGCAUCGAGCAGGGGGAAAAGGAGCAAUCCGCUUUGAGAUGGACUCGCGUCCGAUUAGCUAGUUGGUGAGGUAACGGCCCACCAAGGCGACGAUCGGUAGCCGGACUGAGGGGUUGAACGGCCACAUUGGGACUGAGACACGGCCCAGACUCCUACGGGAGGCAGCAGUGGGGAAUAUUGCACAAUGGGGUAAACCCUGAUGCAGCGACGCCGCGUGGAGGAAGAAGGUCUUCGGAUUGUAAACUCCUGUUGUUGGGGAAGAUAAUGACGGUACCCAACAAGGAAGUGACGGCUAACUACGUG